GCGGCAGCUACCAUGCAGUCGAGCGGUAGAGAGAAGCUUGCUUCUCUUGAGAGCGGCGGACGGGUGAGUAAUGCCUAGGAAUCUGCCUGGUAGUGGGGGAUAACGUUCGGAAACGGACGCUAAUACCGCAUACGUCCUACGGGAGAAAGCAGGGGACCUUCGGGCCUUGCGCUAUCAGAUGAGCCUAGGUCGGAUUAGCUAGUUGGUGAGGUAAUGGCUCACCAAGGCGACGAUCCGUAACUGGUCUGAGAGGAUGAUCAGUCACACUGGAACUGAGACACGGUCCAGACUCCUACGGGAGGCAGCAGUGGGGAAUAUUGGACAAUGGGCGAAAGCCUGAUCCAGCCAUGCCGCGUGUGUGAAGAAGGUCUUCGGAUUGUAAAGCACUUUAAGUUGGGAGGAAGGGUUGUAGAUUAAUACUCUGCAAUUUUGACGUUACCGACAGAAUAAGCACCGGCUAACUCUGUGCCAGCAGCCGCGGUAAUACAGAGGGUGCAAGCGUUAAUCGGAAUUACUGGGCGUAAAGCGCGCGUAGGUGGUUUGUUAAGUUGGAUGUGAAAUCCCCGGGCUCAACCUGGGAACUGCAUUCAAAACUGACUGACUAGAGUAUGGUAGAGGGUGGUGGAAUUUCCUGUGUAGCGGUGAAAUGCGUAGAUAUAGGAAGGAACACCAGUGGCGAAGGCGACCACCUGGACUAAUACUGACACUGAGGUGCGAAAGCGUGGGGAGCAAACAGGAUUAGAUACCCUGGUAGUCCACGCCGUAAACGAUGUCAACUAGCCGUUGGAAGCCUUGAGCUUUUAGUGGCGCAGCUAACGCAUUAAGUUGACCGCCUGGGGAGUACGGCCGCAAGGU
rnacentral:rRNA from 1 species